GACGAACGCUGGCGGCGUGCUUAACACAUGCAAGUCGAACGGAAAGGCCCUGCUUUUGUGGGGUGCUCGAGUGGCGAACGGGUGAGUAACACGUGAGUAACCUGCCCUUGACUUUGGGAUAACUUCAGGAAACUGGGGCUAAUACCGGAUAGGAGCUCCUGCUGCAUGGUGGGGGUUGGAAAGUUUCGGCGGUUGGGGAUGGACUCGCGGCUUAUCAGCUUGUUGGUGGGGUAGUGGCUUACCAAGGCUUUGACGGGUAGCCGGCCUGAGAGGGUGACCGGCCACAUUGGGACUGAGAUACGGCCCAGACUCCUACGGGAGGCAGCAGUGGGGAGCAUUGCACAAUGGGCGGAAGCCUGAUGCAGCAACGCCGCGUGCGGGAUGACGGCCUUCGGGUUGUAAACCGCUUUCGCCUGUGACGAAGCGUGAGUGACGGUAAUGGGUAAAGAAGCACCGGCUAACUACGUG
rnacentral:rRNA from 1 species